GCGUGGGAGCAGGGGGGAAAAUCUUUCCAAUGCUACCCCCUCCCUUCCCCCCGUGGCAGAAUAGGGAGGGAGGGCGGACCUCGGGCCCAGUUUGGCUUUGCCUUCAUGGACAGCAGCAACCAUCACCUGUCUGCCACGGCAAUAGAUGCCUCUGCUUGCUCCAGAUGUCCUUCUCCUGCAGACCAGAGAACACCUCUUGCUCUUAUUUAAAAAUCUAAAGAAAAGAGUUCUGCCCCAUCAGCUUUGGAAAUAGUUGUUUAACAUGGGAGAGAACAAGCUGAGCCUGCGUAACCCAAGACAACCAAUUCCUUUAGCAGAAAGUGUCUUCUGUCAUCAAAAAGAGCCAUCUGGAAGAGCGUUGGCUCCGUGCCAGGAACAACCCUUUAGCAACCGCUCAACA
rnacentral:lncRNA from 1 species